rnacentral:misc_RNA from 1 species
GAUGAAGAACGCAGCGAAAUGCGAUAAGUAAUGCGAAUUGCAGAAUUCAGUGAAUCAUCGAAUCUUUGAACGCACAUUGCGCCCGCCAGUAUUCUGGCGGGCAUGCCUGUUCGAGCGUCAUUACAACCCUCAGGCCCCCGGGCCUGGCGUUGGGGAUCGGCGGAGCCCCCCGUGGGCACACGCCGUCCCCCAAAUGCAGUGGCGGUCCCGCCGCAGCUUCCAUCGCGUAGUAGCUAACACCUCGCGACUGGAGAGCGGCGCGGCCACGCCGUAAAACACCCAACUCUUCUGAAGUUGACCUCGAAUCAGGUAGGAAUACCCGCUGAACUUAAGCAUAUCAAUAAGCGGAGGA